GCAAAUAUAGUUUUAACCAAAACAUUAGAUUGUGAUUCUAAAAAUAGAAGUUAAAAUCUUCUUAUUUGCC
rnacentral:tRNA from 1 species